CAGUCGCUGGAAAAGAGAGGCUGCAGUGAUGUGGAUAGCACACUCAUCUGACCGGCUCUAGCUCCUGCUAUCGCUUCCCAGUUCCCUCAUGAGAGAACAGACUCAGCCGUCACCUGCACCAGGCCGCUCUCCCUGACCCCCAAGGCUGGGUCAGCUGUCACAGCUGGGUCCCCUGUUUUCCCCCAUCACUCUGGUUCUUGAAGCACCUUCCUAUUACGUCGCAACCUGCGUGAGGGCAGCA
ensembl:lncRNA FARSA-AS1 FARSA antisense RNA 1